rnacentral:lncRNA from 1 species
AAGUAUUUUUCACACUAGUUUCGGUAUUAAUUAAUGUGAGUGCCAUGAGUUAUGAAUUUCAUUGUGAUUGGCACGCCUCAAUUUAUUUCAAAAGAUUGUACUUAGCUAAAGCGAACUAUAGAUAUUCAUAUUUAAAACUAAUUUGAAGUUCAACAUAAGGAUACUAAUUAUGUACAUGCUUGGGGUAGAUGUGUUGGACCUUUAAUUAUUUGAGAAGAAUUGGGCCAGCACUGGGCCCAUUACUUAAUCUAAGAAAAUUUUUUAAGAGCAACAAUGUCGGUGAUAACUGGGCUCGAAAUUUAGCCCAAGAAUGAGGACAAGAGGGCAAACGGCCACAACAGAUUUGAUUGGGCCAAAUACUAGGCCCAACUUUUCAAAGGUGAGCUCCAGUAUUAGAAACCCAUUUUUUAUUAUACUAGAUAGAAAACUUAAUGGAUAAAAUUGUUGAAAGUAGCUGGGCUCGAAAUUGAGCCCCAAAGGCGAGAAAAACCCAAGAGUCUGGUCGCCUUGGACCUGGUUUUAAGCAUGCCGCCUCACAUGGGCCAAACACUGGCCCAAUUAUCUCAACCGAUGAGCUUUAGGGCCAGGGCCUUAAUUAGGCCUGAUUUUAUUUGUCCACAAAAAUACACUAUUUGAUCACUAAAAAUGCAGAAUAUCAACCAACCACUAUAAGUUAAUUUAUCAACAUGCUACUAAUAUCAACAACAAAAGGUCAAAUCAUAUGCUCAUUCAUGAAUUACCUUAGACCUGGAACAUGCCAUUAAUCGAACAACAUUGAAAGUUGAGGCGAUUCUGUUGAGAAUACUCAAGAAUUUAAACACAGAUCCUUUCGAGACAUAUAUUGUAUACACUCAAUAUAUUUUUAACAAAGUCCAACUAAAUUACUACAACUAUUGAGUAUUGCAAACUGUUAAACUAUACAUGAAAAAACUAAACUAAUUCAAACCUUCAAACACCUUAAUAUUGUGACUAAAUUAUAGAAUAGAACAUCAGUUUCAGCAUGCUUAAACAAAAGCUAGAAGGAAAGCUACAAAACCAAAAAAUAAUAGAAGACAUCAAGCAAAAGAAGAUAUUUUGUUCUAUUCCAUGCAAACAUGUUACAACUUUAUUUUUUUCAUUUCAAAGUUCAUGAAGAUGCCUGGAUAUAACAAAGAAUAAAAUGAGAAAAUUUCUGAGAAUCAACAGAAACCAACAAGAAAACUUCAAUAGAAAUCAACAGCAUACAACAGCAAACCACACAGCUCCAAAGCUUAAGCCAUAUUUUAACUUAGAGAAUCAGAAAUCACAGAAAUUUGCUCGAACUUUCUUAAGAAACUAGAAAAGUUUGAUCAACUCCAAUGGAACAGUAGAGUUGAGCAUUUUUGAGUAUUUUUUAGGGUCUAAAAAUCUAUCUUAAUGAAAGAGUAACUUUUUCUUUAUAUAGGGCAUACAAAAAACAGUAUCAAAAGAAUAUUCUGACCUAAAUUCCUUUAAUAGUACAACAUAUUGACAGAGAAUAAUGUACAACUAUCUAUUUUUCAGUAUCUUUUCCAACAAAUUCUGGACAACUGAUACAUUUGUAUAACUUUCCCCUUAAGUCUAGGCCAAUUGUCAAGGCCAAAUGGCCUAAAACAGACCCAAGUCAUGGCCAACUGGCCUAGGACAGACCCAAGGCCAAACCAAAGUAAAACAACUACUACAAAUUAACCCAGUAAAUCAUUUGACCGUGCUGAAAUUACUUAGUAACCUAAUCAACUAACAACUAAAUUUAAUCAACCUAAGAGAUAUACAAAUCAGUCGAUAAUUAAUUAAUUUAGCUCAAGUAAAAUCAAAUCAUUUGACCAUGCUGAAAUUACUUAGUAACCUAAUCAACUAACAACUAAAUUUAAUCAACCUAAGAGAUAUACAAAUCAGUCGACAAUUAAUUAAUUUAGCUCAAGUAAAUGAAACUACACGACUGACCAAACAAAAACAACGACUUUAAACAAUCUAAAAACUAAUUCAAACAAGUAAAAUGCUUGAAUUGAUUUAAAUAAGUAUACUAAUUUGAACAACUAAAUACUUAAAACAAAUUCAAACAAGUAGGUCAUUAGAAAUUAAUCCAAACAAGUAAAGGAGAAAAUCAAAAAAAUAAAAACAAAAACAAAAAUAAAGAAAAGAAAGAGGAAGGUACUGUUUUUUUUUUUACCGGAAUGAAUUGUCGACUGAAGCAACCCAACGAACAAGGAAGAUGAUGAACUUGGCCAGGCAUCACUGGUUUGGUCAGGAAGCGGACGACUCCUGAAACGAACCAAGACUAACGCUAAUCAAUUAUUAUUAACAAAAACAAUUGCUUAACAAAAGUCUCGAGUCAAAUCGAGCCUUGGAAGCAUAGAAAUCGGAGUUAGGAAUGGAUUAGGUUUUUUUCAGAAUUUCAGAUUUAAAACUAAGAAAAAUGGGUGGAGAUUCAAAGAAAGCUAAUGGUAUAUUUGUGCUUAGGGGGAGAGGGGGUAUGAGGAGCGUAGGGUGAAAAUUUAGGGUUAUUUGGUCGAUUUAGGGGUUUGGAUGUAAACUUCAGAUUUGGAUUUAAAGGAUUUGGGUAGUGAUUUGGGGGAAAUUAAUGAUGGAUUAAUACUUAGAAGAUGGUGGGAAGUAUAGAGGAUGAAUUUUGGGUGUUUUGGUGAAGCACUGCCGCCGUAAGGAGAUUUUCGCGCGGCAGAGCCGGCGAGGGAUUAUAGGACGGCUAGGGUUAUAUGUUUAGAGAGAUGAAGACGGAAGUGAGGGGGGGUCUCUAGGGUUUCAAGGGAUUCAGACAGUUUUAACCUAAAGGAUGUGCAGUUGCGAGCCGUUGGAUCAAAAGAAU